AGUAUGAAUGGCACCACGAGGGUUAUACUGUCUCCUUUUUCCAAUCAGUGAAACUAAUCUUCCCGUGAAGAAGCGGGGAUUAAAUUAUAAGACGAGAAGACCCUAUGGAGCUUUAAACAAAGUAACAAUUGCUACUCUACUUUCUAAUUUCUGAAAACUAACUUAUUUUAGCCUUAUGAUUACUAGUUUUAGGUUGGGGUGACCGCGGAGAAUAAUUUAACCUCCACAUUGAAUGAAUUCUAUUCUAAGCUAAAAGCCACGACUUUAAGCAUCAAUAAAUUGACAUCUAUUGAUCCAAUACUUUUUGAUCAACGAACCAAGUUACCCUAGGGAUAACAGCGCAAUCCACUUCAAGAGCUCCUAUCGACAAGUGG
rnacentral:rRNA from 1 species